rnacentral:rRNA from 1 species
UACGAAGGGGGCUAGCGUUGUUCGGAAUUAUUGGGCGUAAAGCGCGUGUAGGCGGCUUUGCAAGUCGGGUGUGAAAUCCCUCAGCUUAACUGAGGAAGUGCGCCCGAAACUGCAGAGCUUGAGUGCCGGAGAGGAUGGCGGAAUUCCCCAAGUAGAGGUGAAAUUCGUAGAUAUGGGGAGGAACACCGGUGGCGAAGGCGGCCAUCUGGCCGGUAACUGACGCUGAGGAGCGAAAGCGUGGGGAGCGAACAGG